rnacentral:lncRNA from 1 species
UCAACAUUAAAAUAUUCAAAUACAUCUAAUUCAAACCAUAUACACAUUUAUCUCUAAAUCUUUAUGUACAUGCCAUAUUUCUAAACUCAAAUUCAUAUAAAAUUUACAAAAUAUACCCAAGAUCAAUAAUGAUGUAACUCUGACUGGAUUGAUGCAGAUCUUGCUCUACUGUUUCUUGAAUCUACAGCCUGCGCGAGGAAAAACAAAUUCCUACGCGCUAAGCAAAUUGCUUAGCGGUGCUCA